AUAAAUUUAAAAUGCUUUAUAUUAGAAACAAUCUUACAUAGAAGUAAUUUGAAAAUCUAUUGUGAAUUUUGGACAUUAAUUUUAACACUUGAAUGUGAUGUAUUAAUAUUCACUUGAAUAAGUGUAUUGUUUAGAGACUAUUCAAGCAGUUAACAGCCAAAGAUUAUUUUCCCAUUGAUAAAUAAAUCUUUGGUCUUCAAUUAUCUUAGAACUCUUUUUCAAUUAGCGUUAGCUUUUAAGAGACAAAUGUGCUGUUGUGCAUAUUGUUUCUUAUAUGAGUGUCUUGCUAGCUUGGUCAUAAUCUUUAGUGAACUUGUGCUAUGACUAAGGAAUUUAGACCCUUUGGCACUUCUAUGAUACCAUGCAUUUUCUGUUAAUAUAUUUUAACAAAAAGAAACCUUAACAAUUCAACCCAAAACGCAGUUAUUAAAUGUUAAUUCCCAGGUAUCUAUCCUUUUGUUGUUGCUAUUAACAGUAAUAAUAAUGCCUUUUAGUGUUUUGUGAAGCACUGUCUUGCUUGCAUUUGUUAUUAAUUGUAUAGUUUAGGCCUUUUAUAAAAAGGUCACUCAAGGAGUAUUCAUCAUAAAAGAACUUUAUAUUUUGAAAAGCAUGCCUGUAAUAGAGUAAGAAUAAUAAGUUGAUGAUUGCACUUUCUUAGAAGUUAUCGUUGAAUUUAGAAAACAAAAUUUUUAGAGUUUCUCAGUUUCUCGUUGCUGUUAUUCCAGCUAGAAGAGUAGGAAAAAGGAAAUGUUAGCUUUGGUUUGGUUUGAUGAACAGACCAACAGCAGAGAUGAGAAGGAGACUGGACAGUAAAAGCUGGUGGUAUUGGUGUUGAAUUUUGGAAGUUUUCGUUUGAAGAGUUUUAGUUCAUUGGUAGGAGGAUGAAAAUACAUAGUGACCAAGGAAUGACCAUAAGUAAGGGGCCAACUUUAAAGGCAGUCACACGAUUAGGGUUUACAAGUAGACUCUUCUGUUAGGUGACAUUUUUCUUUGUCUCUUAGAACUGACUUUAGGAAAAUAAAGUUCUAAUUUCUUGACUGUUCCUUUUAAUCUGUUUUAGGGCUUUGAUUAUGGUCAUCUGGCUUUCUAGCUGGCUUUCAAAUAUCUAGAUUGGAAAGGUCUUAACCUUUGGCCUCUCAAAGUUUCUGUAAAUCUCUGUAUGCAAAAUUUUAUGCUUGCUUUCAUUUUGGUAUGGAGUAUCUUUGAAAGUUUUAUCCUAUUUUCAGAUUAGUCACAGGGCCAUAAAAGAUUAAAGAACUCUGAUAUAGAUCUUUGCUGCUUCUUCCUUAGAGAAUCCUUUCAGAUAUAAGUAAGCAUUAAAUAUAUUUCAAGGCUAACAUUUCCUGAAACUUACCUUUAAAAAGAAAAGGCUUUUCUAACAUUUUAACAGAUUAAAUGCUAUUUUAUUAAAUGUUUCGAUUUUGAUUGCAGUAGCUUUUCUGAAAGCAUGGGAAUUUUAGUUUGGCAUUAGAUAAAGAUUGUUUAACAAUUGGUGAGUUUAAGUUAAAUGACAUUCAAAUUUUAGUAAUUUCAUUACUUUUUAAUCAAGGAUCAAUAAUUUCUUUUUGUUAAAUAUGUUGGUAUCAUAAUUAUAGUCUAGAUUUUCUUAGAGUCAACUAUGAUUACUGAUGUAUAUAUCAUUUUUCCUUGGUAAGGCCUUUAAGUUUUAUAAUUUUCAGUCGAGAUAACGUCUAAGCUUUAGGCUACCCAAAGAGUUAGUGUUUCUAAAUUUGAAGGAACCAUUUUCAGUUGGUAGCAUCAUUUCCUGAUUUUUUUCAAUUAAAGGAGAUAAGUUGAUAAAUAUAUAUAUUGAAAGGUUCUCAUGAUAGUCAAGUAUUCCCCGUAGAGAUCCUACAACAGUGCUUGAUUUAUAAAAGGUGUGUAGUAAAUGUUGGCCUAUUAAAAUAUUUAGUAUAUAAAAUAUAGUACUUUCUUUCCCUAAUUUAUAUAGCUUAAACUUUUCCUGUUCCUUGAAUUUAGGGUAGUCUAACAAAUUUUGCUAUAGAAAUGAAUCAGCUACAAAUUAAAUGCAUGUGUACCAUACAGAUAAUUUUAAUAAGUAUUUUUACAUAUUGAGAAGUGGCUUGUAUUAGUUUUCCCCUUUCACCAUCACCUCUUUGUCAUUUUGACCCUAAACACUUAAUAAAUCACUCCUAAAUUGAUCAAAAUAUGCUUAUGUAUACUUUAAUAUAAAAUUAUAUUGCAUGGCUUUCUGACUUGGGUUUUUGUUGUAAAA